rnacentral:tRNA from 1 species
GGGCGGCUAGCUCAGUUGGUUAGAGCGCAUGAUUCACAUUCAUGAGGUCGAAGGUUCGAGCCCUUUGCCGCCCA